GAUGAACGCUGGCGGCGUGCCUAAUACAUGCAAGUCGAACGCUGGAGCUCUAGCUUGCUAGCUCGAAGGAGUGGCGAACGGGUGAGUAAUACAUAAGCAACCUACCCACGAAGACUGGGAUAAUCUCUGGAAACGGGGACUAAUACCGGAUAGGUAAUCGGAAGGCAUCUUCUGGUUAUUAAAGGUUAAAAACACUGGUGGAUGGGCUUAUGGCGCAUUAGUUAGUUGGUGAGGUAACGGCCCACCAAGACGAUGAUGCGUAGCCGGCCUGAGAGGGUGAACGGCCACAUUGGGACUGAGACACGGCCCAGACUCCUACGGGAGGCAGCAGUAGGGAAUUUUCGGCAAUGGGGGCAAGCCUGACCGAGCAACGCCGCGUGAGUGAAGACGGCCUUCGGGUUGUAAAGCUCUGUUGUAAGGGAAGAACGGUAGAUAGAGAAUAUCUAAGUGACGGUACCUUACCAGAAAGCCACGGCUAACUACGUG
rnacentral:rRNA from 1 species